ACUACCACUACCGGAAUGAAGUGCGAGCAGCUAGACCUCUGGCCUCCACCCGAAAUGGGCCUCCUGCCUCCGGACUGACUCCCGAGCCAUCUUCUCGCUUCCUCUGGCACCGAAGGCCCACAGGGUCCAGCUUUUUAAUGGGCCCUUUAUCUGCUACAGACCGCCUCGACGAACCGGAAUCAAAUCUGGGCCCUUGCAAGGACGGAGGCCGAAGUCUAGAUCCCGAAGUAAGCCCAGUAGGAAGCGGCGCGGUCCAGACACCCGGGGACCGGUGACCUGUCUGCACUCCCGGCCACGCGGCGCGUCGCUGGGCUGGAAUCCCACCUUGCAUCCACCGCGCGGGAUUCCAAACAGCCAGUAUAAACUAUCCUCUUACCCCACCACAACAGGGAAGAUGGCGGGACCCAGGCUUCCGUGCAAGUUUCCAGAAUUAUACCUGAGGGUCCGGGCGGCAAGGCCUGCAUCCACCUCUCGCCCGGACUUUCGUUUACAGCCGCGCCCUCUAAGGGAAGGUUUAUGACCACAGCGCUGCAGAACAGAGUCGGGUGGGCACUAUACAUGGCCGUGGCGCCUGCGGCCCCAGCUCGCGGCCUGGGGCGCGCUCGCAGGGCCCCAUCCUUCUGGUGCGCGGGGCUCUGGAGCCAGAAAGUGUACACAGACCAUAAAUUUUCCGCCCUGCUCGGCGCAGCUCUCCGAGGUCAGGGGCCGGCCGCCCGCCUCCAACCGCCUCUGCGCGCCUACCCCUUAACUUGCGUCCGGGUAACUGCCGCCGACAGCAAAACGUAGCUGGUGCCCGCUGCAGCGCCUAGCCAGACUGCAACGCCGCCUCAUCACUGUUACAGCACCCUAGUAGCGUUGGGACUCGGGGAGCAGCCUGCGGCUCCCCACCGCUGCCUACGAGGCAGGAGUUAGGGAAUGGAGUAAAGAGGGAAGAAGGCGAGGCCUGGGGGAGGCCAGAAAAUCGCCGCAGACCACAAGUUCGGAGAUUGGAGUAAGAAAGGCAGAUUUCUGUCAGACGGUGGUCAUCUGGAACCAAGCCAGGGGAGUCCCGUUCCUCUUAAAAUUCUGAACGGAAUCUUGAACAGUACCAGGACGAAAGGAAGCCCAGGGCUCAAUGAGCAAAGAGGAAAAAAUGAAAAGUGAGAAAUGGUGAGGACAUACAAAGCAAGGGAGAGUGAAGACCAAUGGAUAUGGGAAAAUUCAAAUUACAGCUACAAAACUGUGCUCUUGGCCUGGAAGAGUAGUCAGCACAGGCUGCAGGGUCCCUGAUGGAGGCAAGAAAAAGGAGACCUGGCUUAGAUCGCUGAAGCUGACCCAAAGUGGCCUCAAAGAGUCAUCUCCUGGGCGCUCCCGACCGGCAACCGACUGACGUAGCGAUCAGCUUGGGGGAGGUGGGGGCCAAGGGGCCCGCGCUGACCGUGAACUGAAUGAAUAUUCGGCGGGCAGGUUGGGGAUCCGAGACCACGGAAGACCCAGGACCUUCCUAUGCUACACCCAAAGCCAUUGAGAACGGGGCGAGACCCUGUGACCCCCGAAGGUAGGAGGCCUUGGAGCGAGAUCUGAGCCCCAGACCACGAGAGCCUGGCUGCGUAGAGUCUCAGGGACACCUCUUUGGAGGCGUGCGCGGCCCGCAUUUCAGCAGGUAGUGAAAUUCAACAGUGGCCGGAUUGUGAUGACGGAUGCAAGUCGGGACUGCCAGAUAGGGGAUCCUAUUCGCUCAUUAGUUCAUUCUUUUGAUCUUUCGUUCACUUGCUCAUUUCUUGAGCUUCUACCACGUGCUGGGUGCACUCGUCACGCGGAUUCUGAGAAACAAAAAUAAACAGCCCCGACAAAUUAAAACGAGGCUAAAAUUUGCAGACUGGGAAAUCUCUGGUCGAGGACAGUGGGGAUUGAGGGUGGCUAGGGAAUUCCGCAGAACAGGCACUUUUGCUCCGCAGAGAGAGGCGGCGGGGUGCAGACGCACUAAGACCAACUCGCCUAGCGUUCUUACCCGCUCUGCGGUGCUCUUCCGUGUUCCAAGAGAGGCUCGGGCAGAUCUUAGCGCUCCGCACCCCCGCAUAAGUGAGGGACUGGAGAAAGCACAGAAAGCUUUGGACUUCUGUCCUGGUUCUUGACGUUGACCACUAGGGAAGUGACCUUGAGUGAGUCAUUCAACCUCCCUACCAGUUGGUUUCCACCUACAACGAUGCCCAAAUGGUACGCAGACCAGAGUUUCGGCCGCCUGCAUCGAGUCCUGCUUGUGAACGCGUUCUCUUGCCUCUCUGUGAUGACCUUAGCAUCGGGGAUCCUAAUGGGUCCUCGACCAGAUGAUUCGCAGCUCCAGGUCCACUCCCGGGGUUACUACCUGGUACUUCUGGGUCGUGUUGCACAGCCUCCUACUGUGUUUAUAAUGCUACCUACCCUGCGAUGCUAUAAAUAACCACAAGGGCCACAAUA
rnacentral:lncRNA from 1 species